rnacentral:tRNA from 1 species
ACAAUAGUAGUAUAAUGAGUAUGUCUGUCUUCCAAACAGAUGGUUCUUGAUGGACUGUUGUA